rnacentral:rRNA from 1 species
UACGAAGGGGGCUAGCGUUGCUCGGAAUCACUGGGCGUAAAGGGUGCGUAGGCGGCCGUGCAAGUCUGGCGUGAAAGCCCCGGGCUCAGCCCGGGAAGUGCGCUCGAAACUGCGCGGCUCGAGUGCCGGAGGGGAGAGUGGAAUUCCUGGUGUAGCGGUGAAAUGCGUAGAUAUCAGGAGGAACACCGGUGGCGAAGGCGGGUCUCUGGGCAGUAACUGACGCUGAGGAGCGAAAGCGUGGGGAGCGAACAGG